AUUUAUGGUCAUUGUUCUUUGUGUGUGUUUCUUGCCAGUGUGUUCUCCCGUUCCUCACGUCCUCUGUACUUUGUCUUGUUUGAAUCCUUUUGUCACUUCCUGUUUUACUUUGACAAUCAUUCUCAUGUGUCUUCAGUGAUCCUGAUUGUAUUCACCUGUCUCGUUUUAGCCUGCUCUCCUUUGUGCGUGUUCAUUCUGUGGUCUUUCAUCAGUCUUUGUACGUGUGCUAAGUUACCCACCAAAUCGUGCUGUGUACGUCCUGUCAGAGAUUUUAAAACCUUUUUUUUUUUUUAUCAGAACCAUUAUAAGUUGAGCAGGCCUCGUUAUAGUUUCACGUUGCAUCUUCACAUAAGCGUGUGUGUGUGUGGAGUGACUACACUGAUCCAGUCGGAGGAUAUUUCUGACAGCUGGGUUCAUUUUUAAAUUGGAGUGUGACUGCAUUUGAACAGAUGUGUAUUUAGUUUUUUAUUUUCUUCAUGUCUCAGGUAUUUCAGUAAAAAACUGUGCAGUGUGUGGUGAGGGCACAGUGCAGGGCCCAGGAAGGAGAGACCAUAUUGUGCACAGUAGAAAACAGUAGAAAACAAACAAACUAUGAACUGUGGACUUACGAGGUGAGAAGUAAAGAGUUGGCAAACGUUAAAACUUAAUCCUGUUUUGGCUGUUCAGCUGAUAUCCGUCUACUUAGUAAUAAGUAAUUGCAUCAUUGUAUGUCAAUAUGUAAACUCUGUUUUUUGGGCCACACGCUGACUGGGCAUGUGUAAAUUGUGUGUACAAGAAAAACAUGACACUGCUAGGUGUGUACAGAAUAUUUUCAUGGCGCUAUCCCACUGACGCUGGAGAAUUAGGUUUACUUUUUAGUUUUUCUUUAAUAUGAAAUUUAAUGUCCAAACUUUGUUUGUUUUAUUCUUUUUCUUUGUUUGCUUUUUUGUUUUUUAACUGUGGAAGCAUUUUGGAAAGUUGCAUCUUUUCUAACUUCCUCUUUGGAGAUAAUUGUAUCGGUUUCUUCAGACUUUCAGGAUUUCUUGCCUUAGAGGUGCAGACUUCUCCACUGCAACAUCAUCACCCCUUUUCUCCACUUUACCUGGAGGUAAAGAGUCAUCGUGCAUUAUGGAGGGUGGAUAGUCCCACCAUAACGGGUGCACCAUUCAUCUUCUAGCGGUGAUGCUAUUGGUUAUCAAUGAUUCCACAGGGGCAUGACAAUCAGACUAUGGACCAUUGUUCCCAGAGUUAUGGCUUUCAUCUAUUUUCUUGGAUCAACAUUGCCCUCUGAGUUCCGACUGACUUGGUCGGACUUGUGAACAGACUGAUGAUCAUCACAUCAGCCAUAUCAAAUAUUUGAAGCUCUUAACACUCAUGAAUAACAUCAUAUACGAAGCCUCGACAUCAGAUGAGAAACGCUGACCUGCAGACUCCCUAAUGCGACCAAUCAAUAUUGCACGGAGGACAGCAGACUGCCAGACGUACCAACACCAACGCUACCUUCAACGAAUGAGGCCGGGAAUUCCUUUAGCUACAUCACCACUGAUGUCCCAUCCAACUGACCCUGCAAAGUGAGAGCGAUUGAUUAAACCAGUUUAAUGCGAAUGGUUCCAAAUGACCCUGUUUUAAAUAUAAAGCCUUCUCACUUUCAUGCUGUGGCUGGCAUAGAUCAUCGCUUCAUCUAUCUAUAGAACCAUCAUUGAU